ACUACUAGACAACGUUGGUUCAGGAAAGAAGCGCCCACUCUGCAUCACCUUUGGCUCACCCCUUGUUGGUGACAAGAAAUUACAACAAGCCAUAUCCCGUAGUGCUCAUUGGAAUUCUUGCUUUCUGCAUGUUGUGUCGCACAAAGACCCGCUUCCAAGGCUCUUCAUUGCAAAUUCCUACAUGCCUUUUGGAACAUUUCUCUUCUGUUCUGAUAAAAGUUCUACUUGUUUUGAGAACCCUGACUCUAGUUUGGAAAUUCUCGUGCAAUUGGGCUCAAUCAAUGCUCAAAGUCAAGGAAAUCAAUCUUCUGAGUACGGAAAUAUAAUUGAAAAUCUCAAACCAAUUUGCAAGGAUUUGACUACUCGGGCUGAAGACAAGUUUCAACCAGAUUCACUACUUGCUUGUAUCAGUUUGCAGUUGCAGGCACUAGGAUUGACACCACAAAUUCAGGUAUGUGAAAUUGUGAAUAUCUUCUCUUCCUUGAAAUACUUGAAUUACCCAAACUAAACUCAUUGUGUGCAAUCGGACUAGUAUUUUCUAACCAAUUUUUCACCUCAUUUCUAAAAUUGAUUUGGCAGCAGCAGCAGCAACAGAACAUUGAUAUCAAUGCUCUGGAAGCAAAGAUGAAAAAACUAGAAGAAAAGCUUAUUGUCCAAAGGAGGAUAAUAUUUGAUCCUUCCAAGAAAUUGAAUCAAAUGAAGGGACACAUGGCUCAACUUGAAUGGUACAAGAAGGAAACUAAAGAUGAGGGGAAAGGGUACUAUGACAGCUACAAGAACAUGUACUACCAAAGGGACCAUGAUGUUGUAGAGCUGCACAAAAAGCUAACCAUUUACUGGGAAAAGAUGGUUGAAGAAGCAAAGUUGAAGCCUCAGAGAGAAGGCUCCGCUUUUCGUACCCGUUAUCUCUAUGGUGGAACUACCUACAGGAGAAUGGUUGAACCAUUAGCUAUUUCUCAGUACUAUAAAGACGGGGGUGAUGACUAUAUGAAGAAGAAAAGGUCUAAGCACUUUGAACUGUUGGAGGAGUGGUUGAACGAAGCAGGUGAUAAAGAUAAAAAGAAUUUGCAGAGUACAAGUAAGAAAAAUGUGCAAGCUAUAUUAACCAUAGAUUCUUGCUUUUGGGCACAUGUUGAAGAAGCUCUCCUCUCAUGCAAAGAGUUGAAGGCUGGCAAAGAGAAAGAAGAGGCAGUGAAGAAAUUGCUUAAAUUUGAGGACUAUAUUUAUGGGGUGCUUAAGAAUUAUGAAGUGUCCCCUGAGAUUUUCUUGGAGCAAAGCAGCUUUAUGCGUUGGUGGAUUGAGUAUAAAGGAAUUAAGGGAACUUCAUAUAGUUCACCACUCGCCAGCUUCAUGAACGAUGUUGGCAAGCGUAAGGGGUAUAUUCAGGGAACUUAUGAUUUCCCCUGAAGCAUAACAACUAUAUAAUAAAGUGUGUAUCUCAGUGUAAUAGGUAACUGUAAUAAAAGUGUGUCUAUGUGUAAUAGAUUAGGUUUGCAUUGCGAAGCUAAUAACUCUUGUAUUUGAAAGCCUUAUUAUUCCAAGUGGUUUAGUUUUUUUUCUGUUGGUUAAUGUCUUUAGCAGAGCUUUUCAGAGUUCAAAGUUCGAUCAAUAAGUGUGUUUAUUACGAAACUUAAAUGGUACUCCCUCCGUCCCCUAUUAUAAGUAAUAAUUAAAUGUCCAGAUAUUUCACAUGACCAUACAUAUACAGUACAUAAACUGAUAAACAAAGUAUAUUUUAAGUCCAAUUUGUUUCAAAGGUAGACCUUAACAAACACAUGGGUGAGAUCAUCAGCUCGGUUAGCAUGGGGUGAACUUACUCAGAUGUCAAUGUCCCAUUUCCUUUCAAACAGUGUAAGAGAAGAUUUAGGUCAUGAGUUUCAUUGAUUGGAACUUGCACCUUUUGUUACAAACUCUGGUCUACUCCCAAGAUCAUGAGAUGUUAUCUCAUCUCAUCAUGUAGCCAUCGUUUCCAUCCAUUCAGGAAACAUGAGAAACGGAAGAAAAUGACAAGAUUUAAGAAUUAUAUUAAAAGCACCUUGUCUUUUAUUAUUCCUCUUACCAUGUUGUUGAUGUUGUCUCAGAACCGCGAAUCUCUCUCAAUUUAUGAUUAAAAAAAGUAGACACGGUGUGUUGACUUCACCAAAUACAAUUAUUUGCAAUGCCAUCAACCAUUUCAAAGACAUUGAUCUGCUCAUUGUUAACCAUCAUCUCAGUUAUAUGCCAAGAACUCACUGAAUCCUUGUACUUUCUCAAGCACCAUGACACAAUCUAUACUGUAUGUAAUCAAUGAAACACAACUCCUUUGGGUUUUACUGAUCAUAAAUCAAACUAACAUGAACUGCUCACUGCUGGCUCUUAUAAUUUCUAUUGGACUUUGGUUGCAGAUUUAGCAGUGGAAUCGAGCUUGCGCCUUUUGUGAUAAGCUCGGGACUUCUUCGUAGAUCAUGGAAUGUUAUCUCAUCUCAACAUGAAGGCAUCAUUUCAAACGUCGGAGUGGGACUGUCAUGGAAAGUUUAUAAAGAACCGGAUACGGAUGUGGUGAUUGUAGCGUUUGAGGCCACCACAGAUUCUUCUAAUCUUCAACCUGAUUUGGUUUCAUCUUCUGAACUCAAGGAGAAUAAUAUCCUUCACUUUGAUUUUCUGUGUAGCAAGAAAAAUCCAGUUUUCUCUUUUAACAGCACUGCAGUUUCACUCUUCAAUGAAAAUUUUCAGAAGAUUGAUCAGUUGAAAUCUGAGGUACAGAUCCUUUUCAUUACUCUAUGAAUCUGUUGAUUUCGAUUGGAAAAUUUGCAAGGUGGGGAAAUCAUUAGUAUAAUUUAAUUUUGAACUCUGCAUGUACUCCUAAUUUCUGCUUGCCGAAAUAUUUAGGGAUUGAAUUGAGCUGUUUGACUUCCCAAUUAGUCAUGAUGAUCACCAAAAUAUCAUAUUGCUUAGCCUUACAUUGAUUUCACUGAGAAGUCAAAAAAAAAAAAAAAAGGAAAGAAAAUCAGAAGAGUUUUUAUUUUGCAUAUAAGUACUCUGAUGAUAUCUCAUGUCUGCAUUUUUCUGUUCUCAAUUUGCAAAUCUACUUCCCUUUCAUAGACAAUGGCCUUAAAAAUGGGAACAAGCCAGAUUUCUAGUUGGGAAUGUAAUAUAGGUUAGUGCCUGUCGUCUUGUUGUUAUGGUUUCGAACUAAUGAUUGAACGAUUGACAUGUAUCAGAGGUGUGGUUGUACAAUGAUAUAAGAGGAAUUCGGUGUAUAAAAUUCAGGGUUGCUUUACAAAACCUGACAUGAGAAAAGGGAUUCGGGGGAUGAAUUAAGAAUAUGUAUGAAAUAUGAGUGUGAUAUUUUUGUUCCAAAUGCACACAUUCAUGUUUAUAUUUGAAAAGCAAAUUUAUGUUUAUCUUUGUUCCAGACAUGUUAUCAAUCUCUCUAACCACAGUCUUUUCUGCAAAAGAGAUCUUGAGAAGAGAGUUUUAGGUGAGGGUUACAACCUCCAAACUUCAGGGUGUCUGUACAUCUUCUGGUUGUCUCUAGGCAUAUAUUGUUGUUUGUUCCUCCCCAGCACUCCCUUAUAUAAUUAACAAUCUUAAUGCAGAUUAAUACUUCCAAGUUAAUUGUUACUGGAGAUGCUCUUGGAGGGUGUAUUGCUUCUCUCUUCACGAUAUCAGACUCCUUUGGUUCAGGAAAGAAGCGCCCACUCUGCAUCACAUUUGGUUCACCCCUUGUUGGUGACAAGAAAUUGCAACAAGCCAUAUCCCUAGGGGUGAAAUGUAAUUCUUGCUUUCUACACGUUGUGUCACACAAAGAUCCACUUCCAAGUCUCUUCAUUACGAAUUCAGCCAGUGCCUACGUGCCUUUCGGAACAUUUCUAUUGUGUUCUGAUGCAAGUUCUACUUGUUUUGACAACCCUGACUCUAUUCUGGAACUUCUCGUGACAUUGGGCUCAAUCCAUGCUCAAAAUGAAGGAUUUCAAUCUGCUGAAUACGGCAAUAUAGUGGGAAAUCACAAUCUUGAAGCAAUCUGCUAUGAUUUUACAGCAAAGUCUGAAGACUCAACUCAUCCAGCAGAUUCUCUAGCAAGUAGUAUCAGUUUGCAGUUACAGGCACUACAAUUGACACCACGUAUGCAGGUAGGUUCUUAUCUUCCUUGAAGUACUGUAAUUAUCCAAAUGAGUCUUAUUUAGACUCAUUUUGUGCAAUCGGAUUAGUGUUUUGUUUUUGCAACCGUAAAUGCAACUUUUUCGAACCUCAUUUCUAAAAUUGAUAUGGCAGCAACAACAAAAACAGAAUAUUUACAUCAAUAUUCUGGAAACAAAGAAACAGCAGAGGUGGAAAUCAUUUGAUCCAUUCAAGCAAUUGACUCAAAUCAAGUUUUAUAUUUCUGUACUUGAAUGGUACAAGAGGGAAACUAAUAAUGGGCCAAUAGGGUGCUAUGACAGCUUCAAGAACAAGAACUCAACAUCGGACCAUGAUGUUAUUUAUUUUCAUAAAAAGCUGACAUUUUACUGGGAAAAGGUUGUUGAAGAAGAAAACAGGAUGCCUCGGAGAGAAGGUGCAGCUUUUCGUAACCGCUGGCUCUAUGGUGGGACUGCUUACAGGAGAAUGGUUGAACCCUUAGCUAUUGGCGAAUACUAUAAAGAUGGGGGUGAAGACUAUGUGACCAAGGGAAGGUCUGAACACUUCAAACAGUUGGAGGAUUGGUUAAAGGAAGCGAUGUCUUGGGUAAAAAGGGAUUUUGAGAGUACAAGUAAGAAGAAUGUGAAAGCUAUUCUCACCAAAGAUUCAUGCUUUUGGGCACAUGUGGAAGAGGCUAACCUUUCAUGCAAAGAGUUGAAGGGCAAAGAGAAAGAAGAGGCAUCGAAGAAAUUGGUUGAUUUUGAGGAGUAUGUUUAUGAGUUGCUUAAGAAUUAUGCAGUGUCCCCUGAGAUUUUCUUGGAAAAAAGUAGCUUUAUGCGUUGGUGGGUUGAGUAUAAAGGAAUUAAGGGAACUUCAUAUAGUUAACCACUCACCAUCUUCAUGAACGAUGCUAGAAACCGUGAGCAGUAUGCUUUGGGAGCCUAUGAUUUCCCUUGAAGUAUGAUAACUAGCCAAAUAAUGAAGUGUGUAUCUCAGUGUAAUAGAGAACUAUGUAAUAUAAGUGUGUGUCUAUGUGUAAUAGAUUAAGGUUUACAUUGCAAAGCUAAUAACUCUUGUUUUUGGAAGCCUUAUUAUUCGAAGUGGUUUGGUUUCUUUCUGUUGAUUGAUGUAUUUAGAAGAGAUUUUCAUAGGGACAGGGGGCAGUUGCUCUUGCCCCUCCAGAUCUUUUUCACUCUUAUGUUUCACAUGGUGAUUGUAGUGUUUGAGACCGCCACUGAUUCUUCUAAUCUUCAAGCGGAUUUGAUUUCAUUUUCUGAGCUCAGGGAGAAGAAGAAAUUCCUGCACUUGGAUUUUCUGUGUAGCAAGAACAAUCGAGUUUUCUCUUUUAACAGCACGGCAGUUUCACUCUUCUAUGAAAAUUAUCACAAGAUUGAUCAGUUGAAAUCCAAGGUACAUCUCCUUUUCAUUACUCUGUGAAUCUGUUGAUUUCAAUUGAAAAUUUUGCAAGGUGGGAAAUUAUUAGCUUAAUUUUGAUCUAAUUGAAUUUUGAACUGCAUUAACAACUAAUUUCUGCAAAUCUAGGGUUUGGUAUGUGGAACGGUCCAGCUUAUUAACACUCUUGAAUUGAGCUGUUUGACUUCCCAAUUAUAGCAUGUUAGGAAAUGAAAUCCACCUACAAUUGAUUCUAAAAUUAUAAUUGGUUUUAGGGAGAAGCUUCUGUGAGUAAGUUCUAUGUGCCAGAAAUGAUUCUCGGAUAAAAGUAAUUCGGGGGACGAAAUAAGAACAGGUCUGAAAUAGGAGUGUGACAUUUUUGUUCCAAAUAUGCACAUUCAUGUUUAUAUUUGAAAAGCAAAUUCAUGUUUAUUAUUGUUCCAGACAUGUUAUCAAUCUCUCUAACAACAAUUUUUUAUGCAAAAGAGAUCUUGAGAAGAAAGUUUUAGGCGAGGGUUACUGUUUAGAACAGAAACGCGAAGGGUGUUUGUCUGUACAUCUUCUGGUUGUCUCUAGGCAUAUAUUGUUUGUUCUUCCCCAGCACUCCCUUAUAUAAUUAACAAUCUUCAUUAAUGGAGAUUAAUAUUUCCAAGUAUUGUUACGGUACAGGAGAUGCUCUUGGAGGAUGUGUUGCGUCUCUCUUCACGAUAUCACUAUUGGCCUCCUUUGGUUCAGGAAAGAAUCGCCCACUUUGCAUCACCUUUGGUUCACCCCUUGUUGGUGACAAGAAAUUGCAACAAGCCAUAUCCCUGGGCUGAAAUGCAAUUCUUGCUUUCUACAUGUUGUGCCACACAAUGACCCACUUCUAAGGAUCUUCAUUACAAAUUCAUCCAGUUCCCACAUGCCUUUCAGAACAUUUCUAUUGUGUUCUGAUGCAGGUUCUACUUAUUUUGACAACCCUGGCUCUACUCUGGAUUCCACUCGCCACUCGCCAGCUUCAUGAACGAUGCUAGAAACCGUGAGCAGUAUGCUUUGGGAGCCUAUGAUUUUCCCUGAAGUGUAAAAACCAAAUAAUGAAGUGUGUAUCUCAGUGUAGAUAACUAUGUGCAAGGUUGUAAGACUCGAGAGUCUACGCAAACUCGCUUUGGGGAAGUAAACUCGUUUCAUCGAGUUAACUCGUAGACUCGUAAGAGUCUACCAAAAUAAAUACCUUGAUAAAACUUGUCAUGGUGUAUAAAGAAUACAUACUACAACCACUAAGGAGACAUUAACCAAAUAAAUUCAAC
rnacentral:lncRNA from 1 species